GACGAACGCUGGCGGCGUGCUUAACACAUGCAAGUCGAACGGAAAGGCCCUGCUUUUGUGGGGUGCUCGAGUGGCGAACGGGUGAGUAACACGUGAGUAACCUGCCCUUGACUUUGGGAUAACUUCAGGAAACUGGGGCUAAUACCGGAUAGGAGCUCCUGCGGCAUGGUGGGGGUUGGAAAGUUUCGGCGGUUGGGGAUGGACUCGCGGCUUAUCAGCUUGUUGGUGGGGUAGUGGCUUACCAAGGCUUUGACGGGUAGCCGGCCUGAGAGGGUGACCGGCCACAUUGGGACUGAGAUACGGCCCAGACUCCUACUGGAGGCAGCAGUGGGGAGUCUUGCACAAUGGGCGGAAGCCUGAUGCAGCAACGCCGCGUGCGGGAUGACGGCCUUCGGGUUGUAAACCGCUUUCGCCUGUGACGAAGCGUGAGUGACGGUAAUGGGUAAAGAAGCACCGGCUAACUACGUG
rnacentral:rRNA from 1 species